rnacentral:rRNA from 1 species
UGCAGAAUCCCGUGAACCAUCGAGUUUUUGAACGCAAGUUGCGCCUGAGGCCAGCCGGCCGAGGGCACGUCCGCCUGGGCGUCAAGCAUUGAAUCGCUCCAUAAGACCUUUAAUGCAAUGCAAUGGUCUCUUAUAUAGGAUGCGGAGAAUGGCCCGUCAUGCGCUGAUGUGUGGCAGGCUGAAGAGGGGGGAUGAUUUUCUCUUGGCAACGAUCGAUUAAUGGGUGGGAUGGAAGCCCCAGUUGAUCCUCAUCAUCGUUAGGUUGCUUUGAGAAAGGUGUGCAUAUCCCGGGCGAUCCCAACUCAAUUGUUUGGAAGAAAAUUGACAUGCGACCCCAGGAUGGGCGGGGUGACCCGCUGAGUUUAAGCAUAUCAAUAAGCGGAGGAGAAGAAACUUACAAGGAUUCCCCUAGUAACGGCGAGCGAACCGGGAUUUGCCCAGCAUGGGAAUCGGGCUGCUAUGCGGCUCGA